GCAUAUCAAUAAGCGGAGGAAAAGAACCCAACCGGGAUUGCCUUAGUAACGGCGAGUGAAGCGGCAAAAGCUCAAAUUUGAAAUCUAGUACCUUCGGUGCUCGAGUUGUAAUUUGUAGAGGGAUACUUUGGGGCCGUUCCUUGUCUAUGUUCCUUGGAACAGGGACGUCAUAGAGGGUGAGAAUCCCGUGUGGCGAGGAGUGCGGUUCUAUGUAAAGUGCCUUCGAAGAGUCGAGUUGUUUGGGAAUGCAGCUCUAAGUGGGUGGAAAAUUCCAUCUAAAGCUAAAUAUUGGCGAGAGACCGAUAGCGAACAAGUACAGUGAUGGAAAGAUGAAAAGAACUUUGAAAGAGAGAGUGAAAAAGUACGUGAAAUUGUUGAAAGGGAAGGGCAUUUGAUCAGACAUGGUGUUUUGCGCCCUCUGCUCCUUGUGGGUGGGGGACUCUCGCAGCUCACUGGGCCAACAUCAGUUUUGGUGGUCGGACAAAUCCGUAGGAAUGUAGCUUACCUCGGUAAGUGUUAUAGCCUGCGGGAAUACGGCCAGCCGGGACUGAGGACUGCGACUUUUGUCAAGGAUGUUGGCAUAAUGGUUAUAUGCCGCCCGUCUUGAAACACGGACCAAGGAGUCUAACGUCUAUGCGAGUGUUUGGGUGUAAAACCCGUUACGCGUAAUGAAAGUGAACGUAGGUUGGGGCCCUCUCGGGGGUGCACAAUCGACCGAUCCUGAUGUUUUCAGAUGGAUUUGAGUAAGAGCAUAGCUGUUGGGACCCGAAAGAUGGUGAACUAUGCCUGAAUAGGGUGAAGCCAGAGGAAACUCUGGUGGAAGGCUCGUAGCGGUUCUGACGUGCAAAAUCGAUCGUCGAAUUUGGGUAUAGGGCGAAAGACUAAUCGAAACCUAUCUAGUAGCUGGUUCUAGCUGA
rnacentral:rRNA from 1 species